AUGAUCUCUGGCUACGCUCGAAGUGGACGUGCUGACCAGGCGCUUCGGGUUGUGCUAAGAAUGAAGGGGCUAGGUGUCAGGCCUAGCGGCUUCGCCUUCUCCAUCAUUGGGCCCUGUUGUCUGCUCUGCUCCUCAUGGGACGCAGGUUCUGGUAGCUGCUGUCCAUCACGGCCUUCCCCAGCAGAACUCUGUAGUCGGGAACACCUUCUUGAUGUGCAGUACAUGUAUUUUGGACAUCGCAUUGUGUCACUGAAUUCUGUCAUGCCAUCUCAGUGUACGAGGAUGAGGGUCAGAGCAAUGCAGUGUUUGAGUGUUUCCGGUUGA
rnacentral:rRNA from 1 species